rnacentral:rRNA from 1 species
UACGUAGGGUGCGAGCGUUAAUCGGAAUUACUGGGCGUAAAGCGUGCGCAGGCGGCGCGUUAAGACAGGUGUGAAAGCCCCGAGCUUAACUUGGGAAUUGCGCUUGUGACUGGCGUGCUGGAGUGUGGCAGAGGGAGGUGGAAUUCCAUGUGUAGCAGUGAAAUGCGUAGAGAUGUGGAGGAACACCGAUGGCGAAGGCAGCCCCCUGGGCCAGCACUGACGCUCAUGCACGAAAGCGUGGGGAGCAAACAGG